CCCGGGUCCACCCAGCUGCGCGCCGUGAGGAGUGGGGGCGCGAGUCCCCUCUUGGCGCUGACACCUGCACGCAAGCGGCCUGAAGACCCUCGGAUCCGCGCCAAGCCCUUGCGGGUCCGUGCACGGGGGCCUGGAGAAGGACGGGGACUGUGUAAGCCGGGGCAUUUAAAAGCGGCUUUAUUGUGGUGUGGUUGGUAUACAAGAAACCGCACAUCUAAAUUUGGUAAGUUUUGACAUUUGUAUACACUCGUGAAACCAUCACCAUAAUCCACGCAGUACACACUCCAGUCCCACCCUUGGUACUCCCUCCCCUCCUUACCCCCGUCCCAGGCAAGCGCUGAUCUGCCCCUCGCUGCGGAUUAAGUGGGCAUUUCUUAUCAUUUAUGCACAUGGAAUCACAGGUAUGUGCUUUUUCGGGCUAGUUUCUUUCCCUCAGCAGGAUUAUGUGUUUAUCAAGUUGUUCCUUUUAGGGCUGACUAGUCAUUCAUCCUAGGAAUGUUCCAGUUCCGUGUCUGUUUGCCUGUUCCUGGACAUUUGGGUUGUUUCCAUUCGUUGCCUGUUACAAAUAAAGUGAUACAAACAUCGUGUCCUACCGGUGUUUGGACCAAUACUCGUUUCUCUUGGUGUCAAGUCAACCUUGUGUCGUUGGGAUAAAUCACAAGAAAUCUUUGCCUACCUCAGAUUCACGUGGUGAGAAUAACAACCCUCCAGCGGAGAAGCCACCUGAGUCUGUGACCAAGGUUAAAUCGUCAGUAAGAAGACAGCCAGCCAUCAUGUAGCCUCUGAUGCGAUGGACUGAGAAAGACUCCGCAUCACUUUUGUGGUGUUCUUGCCCCAGAUGCACAGUCUGCAGUCGUGAGAACACUCCAGACGCACAUUGAAAGACGGCUACAAAGGACGGAUGAGUAUGCUCCAAAAAUGAAGGAAGCGGUCGUAAGACAAGAAAGGCCUGAGUCACUGUUCCGGACUGGAAAAGACGAAGGGGAAAGAGCUAAGUGCAGUGUGGGGCCUCGAAUAGACAGGACGUUCGUGGAAAAACGAGUGACACUAAGGCCGGUCGUUCCGGGUCGCGCUUUCCCACGGAUGACGUCCUGCUUCAAAGCUCCUGUGAAGGGAUAAUUGGGGCAGUUGGGCGCCAGUCCGUCUGCCUCUUUCUUCCCCUUUGAUCCCGUGUCCUCUUUUCCUGACUUCCCUUGGAUUGAACAUUUUUGGGUCCAUUUUC